UCCAAGUCAAAGCGCUCCGCCAGCCCGCCCGUCAGGUCCACCAUCGCGUCCAUACUCUGCCCGCCCUCCAGCGCCUCAUACGACCCGUGCAGUCUGGAGGGGGAGUGAGAGGGAGAGAGAGGGUGUGGCGAUAUUAUCAGGAGCGCCACCCAGAACUCCUGCGGGUGGGUGCUGCGGGCGAAAAUAAGGGCGUCACUCUUCGUGGGCAGCCUGUCAUCCACCACCACCAACACCCACGUGCCGAACCGCCACAGCCGACACACCACCAGCCCCGUGUACCCGUCCCCGUGCAGCGCCUGGUCCGGGGGCACUACCUGACGGCACAGAAGGAGGAGAGAUGGGUGUUGCGUGUGUUAAUGUUGGUGGUGUUGAUUGUGUUUAUCCUCUCUCUCUCUCUCUCUCUCUCUCUCUCUCUCUCUCUCUCUCUCUCUCUCUCUCUCUCUCUCUCUCUCUCUCUCUCUCUCUCAUUAUUUUUUACGAGAGAUGGAGAAAGAUUAUAGAGAUGAAAAUGAAUGGAGAAAAGUAAGUGAGGAAGGAAGGAAGGAAGGAAGAGAAUAAGAGGGGCAGAACACUUAGGCAAUCUUGUGAGUGUACAUUACACACACACGCACACACGCACACACCCACGCAUUCCUGAACUAUUGAUAAACACUAUUAUUACUGUCACUACUACUACUACUACUACUACUACUACUACUACUACUACUACUGCUACUACUAUUACUAUCGAUCUGUCUGCUAUCUAAUUACUUGCAGUGUGUGUGUUUGUGUGUGUGUGUGUGUGCUCUUUGAUUACCGUGUGGAAGGGAGAGGAAGAAAGGGAAGGGAGAGGGAGGAGUGGGAAAGAGGGAGAGGGAAGGUAAAUUGCCUUAUUUACCUUGUUAAUUUACGUUGGUUCGUCCUUAUACCUGUACUUUCUCUCUCUCUCUCUCUCUCUCUCUCUCUCUCUCUCUCUCUCUCUCUCUCUCUCUCUCUCUCUCUCUCUCUCUCCCUUUUCCUUUCCUUUCCUCCCUUAAAUCCUCCUCCUCCUCUUCCUCCUCUUCCUCCUCCUCCCUCAAAGAAAACAUUUCACACCAUUUUCUUCCCUCCUCCUCCUCCUCCUCCUCCCACCACCACCAUCACCUCCGAUUUCCAUCCCCUCCUCCUCCUCCUCCGCUUUCCUUUCCCUCUUCUUCCUCCUCCUCCUCCUUCUCCUCCUCCUCCUCCUCCUCCUCCUCCUCCUCCUCCCGUCUCUUUUCUUCUCACUCCUCCUCCUCCUCCUCUUUCCCCUCGUCCUCUCAUCCCUCUAAACCAACAUCCUUCCUUUUUUCUUCCUUCCCUCCCUUCCUCCUCCUCCCAUCUCCUCCGCUUCUCCUCUUCUUUCCUUCUCUCCUUCUCCGCCUCUCCUUCACUUCUUCCUUUCUCUCCUCUCUUCCUCCAUAAAAAAAAAUUCACACAUUUUCCUUCCCUCCUCCCCCUCCUCCCACCACUACCAUCACCACCACCUCCUCCUUUUCUUCCCUUCUGUGUCCCUUUCCUCCUCCUCCUCCUCCUCCUCCCCUAAUAAAAAUAACGUCUUUCAAAUCCUUUCCUCUCCACCACCACCACCGCCACCACCACCACCGCCACCACCGCCGCCGCCACCUCACCCUCUCUAUCAGCUUGGGUUUCCUGGCCACGGCGGCGCACGAGGACAGGAACCAACAGUCCCCCAGCGCGCCCUGCACCACGUCUCUCCUGCUGGCGCCGUCCACGAACAUGUAGGGCGAGUCCACCAGCUCCUGAAGGGGAGAGAGAGGGAGAGGGAGAGAUAGAGAGUGUAUUAGACAGCUCUAUAGGUGUAAUGGGACAGGUGUAAUAGAGAUGGUUGAGAGUAUAGACAAUACAUGGAGUAUACAGCCCAGGUAGAUAUGUGUAUAGUUAGUUAAUUAGUAUCUUGGUGUAUGAGACAAAUGUGCUGAAUGGAUGGGAAUCCCUGGGGCCUGCCGAUACCUCAGGCCGGCCCGUGUGGGGCGACGGGCAGCCAGUCUCCCUCAGUGUUUUCCAGCUGUUUCCAGAUUCAGGUGUGUAGAUAAUACGCAGAUAAGUGCUUUAUGUGUGUGUGUGUGUGUGUGUGUGUGUGUGUGUGUGUGUGUGUGUGUGUGUGUGUGUGUGUGUGUGUGUGUGUGUGUGUGCAGAGAGUGUUUUAUAGGCAAGUGUAAAGGCUGGGGCUGGGUGUAGGUACCAGGUAUACAUGUGUAUGGUUGGGUGUUUAGUACCCUGGUGCCUUAGACAGCUGUAUGGGACAGGUGUGUUCCCCCUCCAUCCCUCCCGCAGGCACUCACGUGGGGCCGCCGCCACACCACGUCGGGCUCCUCGCGUUCCGAUAAGAAGAGGGAGGAGGGAUCUGCCGGGAAGGAGUCAUCCGUGAACAGCUCACCCGGCGCCAGGCUGUUCCUUAGAUUCUCCACCGCCUCGGCCUCCUGCAGGGGCGUGGCAAGUUGAGGCAGGGGUGUCUCAGGGGCAGACAGGGGCGUGAAUGGCGUGUGGGGUUGUUGGAUAUUAUGAGGGAGGUCUUGAGGGUGAGAAUGGAGGUGAUAGGGAGGGAAAGGGAGGUGAGGUGAUGUGUUUUGGUUGGGGGGAGGAGGGGGAGAGGAGAAAAGGGAAGGGAAGAGGAGAGGACGGAGGAAAGGGAGGAGAUAAGGUGUUGAACUGAGAGAGAGAGAGAGAGAGAGAGAGAGAGAGAGAGAGAGAGAGAGAGAGAGAGAGAGAGAGAGAGAGAGAGAGAGAGAGAGAGAGAGAGAGAGAGUGUCAGGGCUGUGAGUUCACUAAGACAAUUAAGUCAUUCCUCUUCCAUCUGGUAACGCUCAUGGUUAUACUGAGGCAAUAAUGUGUUAAUACUAAGGCAAUAAUGUGUCACUCAGUCAAGGUUGUUCUGUUAAGUAGGUCUGCCGUUCACGAGUCGCCUGUGGGGUCUGACUGAGGGCCGGGGGGCUGGCGGUCACGCGGGUCCAGCUCUGGGGGUCGUAACAGUUAGGGUGAUGAGAUGAAGAGAUAAGAAGCUUGUAGAUAUGCCAGGAAGAUAAGAGAUUAACAAAACACAGAGCCAUUAGGUGAUUAACAAAAACGCCAUUCUCUCUCUCUCUCUCUCUCUCUCUCUCUCUCUCUCUCUCUCUCUCUCUCUCUCUCUCUCUCUCUCUCUCUCUCUCACCAUAACUCCCAGGCGACCAUCCUCGAAGUCAGUCUCCGGCAGCUCAAAGGCACCGCUCUCCACAUUCUUGGGCGCCUCCCUCGCCUCCUCCACCACCUGCACCUCCUCUUCCACCGAUAUCUGUUUGGGGAGAGAUAGAGAGUGGUGGUGGUGGUCAGGUGGUGUAGUUGGGUACAUGUAUCAAAAGAACUAUCAUUAAUAUCAGUAGUAGUAGUAAUAGUAGUAGUAGUAGUAGUAGUAGUAGUAGUAGUAGUAGGAGGAGGAGGAGGAGGAGGAGGAGGAGGGAGGAGGGAGAACGUUACGUUAAAUUAUAGCAAAUACACAUCAUUAUUAGUAGUAGAGCAGUAGUUACAGAAUAGUAGUAGCAGUAAUAGUUGCAGUAGAAGCGGUGCAGUGAGGUAGGUUUAGUGUUUUGGCGGGAAAGGUCAGAGAGAGAGAGAGAGAGAGAGAGAGAGAGAGAGAGAGAGAGAGAGAGAGAGAGAGAGAGAGAGAGAGAGAGAGAGAGAGAGAGUCGCAGGUUCAGGAGCAUGACGUCACUACCUCAAAGGCCACUGCAUUCCACACACACCACAGAUUUGAACUUCUCAAUUCCUAUUUCUCCUCCUCCUUCUCCUGAUCCUAAUCCUUCUUCCUCCAAUACAUUCUUAUACAUAUUUUAUUUCUUCUUUACUUACUCUCCUCCUCCCCCUCCUCCUACCACUACUACUACUACUACUACUACUAUUAUUACUCCUUCACCUUAUUCUCAUCUUCCUUCCCAUCCUAAUCCUCCUCCUGCUCCUCUUCCUUCAAGAAUGUCCCCGCCACCACAGCAAUAUACAAGCACCUACUGCUACGACUACUACUACUACUAGAAGUGUUUAAGUGCAAAAUAUACAUAAACUUUAUCUAAAUUACAAAGCAGACAGGAUAAGCAAAAUUAAUGUCUCUCUCUCUCUCUCUCUCUCUCUCUCUCUCUCUCUCUCU